AAUCUAACACACUGCUCUGGAACACAGAGGGGGACGAUCUGAACAUCAUGAGUCUGUUGAAGUCGCAGACUCACCUGGCAGGCAGAGAGUGGAAUGUCCCUGGUUCCAUCAUGGCUGCUCCUCUCCGCUCCUGGUGUCGCUGUUUAAUGAUGUCAUCACUGUGUGGGACCGACGGGACAGGAGGCGUGUCCACGAUGUCCCUGUCGGGCCAGGCGUUGUCAGGGUGAUCGUGGCUCUGGGUGUAAAGGAAGUGCCUCCUGCUCAGCCAGUCUGUACCAGUCCAUCAGUGAGGUGUCGGGGCUCAACUUUGUGCAUCUCCCAAACUCAGCUGUGUGACACAUUGAGAGACUGCCCUGAUGGUUUUGAUGAGGAGUCCUGCAUUACUAAAUGUCCAAAC